UAGGGUCAUGAGGGCACUAAUAAUAGUCAGCAACCCUGACCAGCCUCACCUGGGGGCUGCACUCACACCUUGCCUUCAGUUCUGCCUUUUCUCUAUGGAGUUGCCUGGUGGCCUAGGUUAGAGCUGCCCUUCUGGCUUUUUUUUGCUCCCUACUGAGGUGGUGAUAUUGCUGUCCUGGGGAACUCCUGCUGCUCCAGCUCCCUGACCUGUGGACAAGCUGCUGCUGAAGUCAAGUAUUCCCCAGUGCACAGGACCUUACAUGGGCCUUUGCCAUCAGAAACACACCAAUGAGUUUAGCUGCCUCCUCUUCAUCCCGGACAUGAUACGGUGCUUGGAAGCCACUCUGGCGUGAGAAGAAGGCUGGGAACUCUCUUGAUUCUCCAAAGGCAGCCACACACACCCCCUGAGUCUCCUGCAGCAGUGGAGCUGUUUCUAACAGAAUGCAAGACUGAAGAUACACACCUGGAAGUUUUUGAACCUUUACUUCAGUGCUGAAAAUUGCAUGAGAAAUGCUCUGUGAUGGAACCAGGUGCAGAAAAUAAGUUUCUUCUUUUGGGUAUUAAAAAAGGUCUUUCCAAUUCUCAUGGGACAGUUUUGAAUUGAACAUCCAGGCUUUCUCAUAACCACGGGAAGGGACUUGAAGAACUGAAUUUAUGAACUAUUUGGCAUUGAUCAUUGUGCUGAUAAUAUCAGGAGGAGUCUGAUAUUAUCAUAGAGAUAAUAUAGAUAGAGAGCCUGGAUCAAGGUCUUUAUUUGGGUGCUCCAUGUCCUGGAUGAAGGUUGGUCUUACACAAUCAUUGAAAGAAGUUGCUCAUUCCAAGACUGUUGGAGUUCAAAGUUCACUCCAAGUGUUUUGUGCAUACCUGUACCUUGUUUUGUAGCCUCUUAAAAUUGGUAGGUGUAUUCAGAGCUGUGUUCGCCCAGGUCUGGAUUGUGCAUAUUCCAGAAAAUGCCAGCAAGCAUUCCCAUUGCCUCGGUCCUUAGUUUGAGGGCACUGAAAUCAUUGUAUAAUGGAAACCUGAA